rnacentral:rRNA from 1 species
ACGAACGCUGGCGGCAUGCCUAACACAUGCAAGUCGAACGAGACCUUCGGGUCUAGUGGCGCACGGGUGCGUAACGCGUGGGAAUCUGCCCUUGGGUUUGGAAUAACAGUUAGAAAUGACUGCUAAUACCGGAUGAUGUCUUCGGACCAAAGAUUUAUCGCCCAGGGAUGAGCCCGCGUAGGAUUAGGUAGUUGGUGGGGUAAAGGCCUACCAAGCCGACGAUCCUUAGCUGGUCUGAGAGGAUGAUCAGCCACACUGGGACUGAGACACGGCCCAGACUCCUACGGGAGGCAGCAGUGGGGAAUAUUGCGCAAUGGAGGAAACUCUGACGCAGCGAUGCCGCGUGGGUGAAUAAGGCCUUAGGGUUGUAAAGCCCUUUCAGUGGGAAAGAUGAUGACGGUACCCACAGAAGAAGCCCCGGCUAACUCCGU